AACGGAGGGUGCAAGCGUUAUCCGGAAUCACUGGGUUUAAAGGGUGCGUAGGCGGCUUUAUAAGUCAGAAGUGAAAGAUUUAAGCUUAACGAUAGAAUUGCCUUUGAUACUGUAAAGCUAGAAAGUGGUUGAGGUCAGCAGAAUGUGGCAUGUAGCGGUGAAAUGCAUAGAUAUGCCAUAGAACACCGAUUGCGAAGGCAGCUGGCUGGCCUUACUUUGACGCUGAGGCACGAAAGCGUGGGUUGCGAACAGG
rnacentral:rRNA from 1 species